CAGCCGCCGCGGUAAUACGUAGGGUGCGAGCGUUAAUCGGAUUUACUGGGCGUAAAGCGUGCGCAGGCGGCCCGUUAAGACAGGUGUGAAAUCCCUGGGCUCAACCUAGGAAUUGCGCUUGUGACUGGCGGGCUCGAGUACGGUAGAGGGGGGUGGGAUUCCUGGUGUAGCAGUGAAAUGCGUAGAGAUCAGGAGGAACACCGAUGGCGAAGGCAGCCCCCGGGGCCUGUACUGACGCUCAUGCACGAAAGCGUGGGGAGCAAACAGGAUUAGAUACCCUGGUAGUCCACGCCCUAAACGAUGGGUACUAGCCGUUUGGUGCGCGAUAGCGCUGAGUGGCGAAGCUAACGCGUGAAGUACCCCGCCUGGGGAGUACGGCCGCAAGGUUGAAACUUAAAGGAAUUGGCGGG
rnacentral:rRNA from 1 species